rnacentral:rRNA from 1 species
UACGAAGGGGGCUAGCGUUGCUCGGAAUUACUGGGCGUAAAGGGUGCGUAGGCGGGGGUUUUUAAGUCAGGGGUGAAAUGCCGAGGCUCAACUUCGGAACUGCCUUUGAUACUGGAACUCUUGAGUCUGGGAGAGGUGGGUGGAACUGCGAGUGUAGAGGUGAAAUUCGUAGAUAUUCGCAAGAACACCAGUGGCGAAGGCGGCUCACUGGCCCGGAACUGACGCUGAGGCACGAAAGCGUGGGGAGCAAACAGG